rnacentral:rRNA from 1 species
UACGAAGGGGGCUAGCGUUGCUCGGAAUCGAUCGUGGGCGUAAAGGGUUGCGUAGGCGGGUCUUUAAAGUCACGGGGUGAAAUCCUGGGAAGCUCAACUCCAGAACUGCCUUUGAUACUGAAGAUCUUGAGUUCGGGAGAGGUGAGUGGAACUGCGAGUGUUAGAGGUGAAAUUCGUAGAUAUUCGCAAGAACAACCAGU